GUUUGGGAUAGCUAAUGAGUUCCGAUCAACCUAGGCUUCCGAGUGAGAUCAAAAGAAAAGAAAAAAAAAGAGAGAGAGAGAGAAAGAAAAGAAGAGAUAUAACCCCACAUCAAGAGAGCCGUAGGACAGAGGAUCCAGAGUUCAAGGUCACCUCCUAACUUCUUGAGACCCUGUUUCAAACCUUCCCACACCAACCCCAGAAAAGGAUCACCAACUGAAGAAGGAGAAAGCCUACGGAGUCCUUUGCCAACCGUCCUGCUUUUGCAGUCCUGAACUUGAGAACUUGCGGAGACACCGGCUGUAGGUCUUUUAAGAAGUGGGAAUUUGCAGAAAGCUGUCUACAAAUAUGACUGACAGAUGAUAACUCUGGAAAACGCCACGGAUGCUGCAGGAUUGCUCUGUCCGUUGUGGAGAACUAAGAGGUUUGGGGGCAACAGCAUCUCUUGGGGUGGUCAACAACGUGGGUUCCCCGGAACCACAAAAACCACCCAAAUCCUUGGAUCACAUACAAGGUGUUCCACUUCACAGCCCUCUAACUAAGACGACUCAGAGAGGAGGAGUGCUUCCUGGAUAUGGUGUCUGUAUAAGCUGAGGUCCCCUACCCCCACCCCCCUGCAACUCGACUCUGAUGAAGCCAUGUUUCCUUCUGUUCAGGCUGAUGUUUGGGUUGUGUGGGUCUCAACAGACCUUGGGCAGCCAAAGACCUCUUCCCUGCCUGGACGUUUGUCUGUCCAGUUGAGAAUAAGGGUCUUCAGCUGUGCGCUGGUCAUCAGGGUCCAAAGAGCUCGCUGCUGUCCAGUCUCUCUUCUUUGUAGAGUACGAUGUUCUCCAUCAGUCUCCUUUUGGCUUCAUUGAUCUCAAUUUUCCAUGAAGUCUCUGUAGCUGAUGUUCAGCAGAAAACAGAAAGAGAGUACCUUCAGCAAGUGUUGCCGUUAAA
rnacentral:lncRNA from 1 species